rnacentral:rRNA from 1 species
UACGUAGGGUGCGAGCGUUAAUCGGAAUUACUGGGCGUAAAGCGUGCGCAGGCGGUUUUUUAAGACAGGCGUGAAAUCCCCGGGCUUAACCUGGGAACUGCGCUUGUGACUGGAAGGCUAGAGUACGGCAGAGGGGGGGUGGAAUUCCACGUGUAGCAGUGAAAUGCGUAGAGAUGUGGAGGAACACCGGUAGUCGGAGCG